rnacentral:tRNA from 1 species
GCGACACCCUUUAGCUCAAUGGUUGAGCGUUGGCUUUAAGAGCCACAGGGCGGUGGUUAGAGCUCACCGGGGCACA